rnacentral:siRNA from 1 species
UUAUCCUGCCACGACAUUCAU